AGAUGUCUAUGGGUUAUAACGGUAACCACUUAUCAUAAGUAUUUUUGUUGAACCACAUACACAGUUUAUCGCAGUGUAUAAGUGUGGUUGUUU
rnacentral:sRNA from 1 species